GAUGAACGCUGGCGGCGUGCCUAAUACAUGCAAGUCGAGCGAACGGACGAGAAUCUUGCUUCUCUGAUGUUAGCGGCGGACGGGUGAUUAACACGUGGAUAACCGACCUAGAAGACUGAGAUAAGUUCGGGAAACCGGAGCUAAUACCGGAUAAUAGUUUGAACCGCAUGGUUCAAAAGUGAAAAACGUACUUGCUGUGACUUAUAGGUGGAUCCGCGCUGCAUUAGCUAGUUGGUAAGGUAACGGCUUACCAAGGCAACGAUGCAUAGCCGACCUGAGAGGGUGAUCGGCCACACUGGAACUGAGACACGGUCCAGACUCCUACGGGAGGCAGCAGUAGGGAAUCUUCCGCAAUGGGCGAAAGCCUGACGGAGCAACGCCGCGUGAGUGAUGAAGGUCUUCGGAUCGUAAAACUCUGUUAUUAGGGAAGAACAUAUGUGUAAGUAACUGUGCACAUCUUGACGGUACCUAAUCAGAAAGCCACGGCUAACUACGUG
rnacentral:rRNA from 1 species